rnacentral:rRNA from 1 species
AGUCCUACGGGACGCAGCAGUGAGGAAUAUUGGUCAAUGGACGCAAGUCUGAACCAGCCAAGUAGCGUGCAGGAUGACGGCCCUCCGGGUUGUAAACUGCUUUUAGUUGGGAAUAAAAGGGGGCUCGUGAGCCCCGUAUUGUAUGUACCAUCAGAAAAAGGACCGGCUAAUUCCGUGCCAGCAGCCGCGGUAAUACGGAAGGUCCGGGCGUUAUCCGGAUUUAUUGGGUUUAAAGGGUGCGUAGGCGGAUUGAUAAGUUAGAGGUGAAAUGUCCGAGCUUAACUCGGGAACUGCCUCUAAUACUG